GUGGGGAAUCUUGCGCAAUGGGCGAAAGCCUGACGCAGCCAUGCCGCGUGAAUGAUGAAGGUCUUAGGAUUGUAAAAUUCUUUCACCGGGGAAGAUAAUGACGGUACCCGGAGAAGAAGCUCCGGCUAACUUCGUGCCAGCAGCCGCGGUAAUACGAAGGGGGCUAGCGUUGCUCGGAAUUACUGGGCGUAAAGGGCGCGUAGGCGGACAGCUUAGUCAGAGGUGAAAGCCCAGGGCUCAACCUUGGAAUUGCCUUUGAUACUGGCUGUCUUGAGUUUGGGAGAGGUGAGUGGAACUCCGAGUGUAGAGGUGAAAUUCGUAGAUAUUCGGAAGAACACCAGUGGCGAAGGCGACUCACUGGCCCAAUACUGACGCUGAGGCGCGAAAGCGUGGGGAGCAAACAGGAUUAGAAACCCCGGUAGUCC
rnacentral:rRNA from 1 species